CGCCGCCUCCAUCCGGGCGCCGCGGGACCUUUCACCCGCCGCGCCGCGGCCCGGAAGCGCCGGGGUGGCGAGCGGAGCAGCGGCACCGGGAGCGACUGGGCCGGCGGCGAUAUAUGAAGCAACCUAUACAUCUUCACACUUAGGUCUUCACGCUUCCCGUUCUACCUUCUGUAUUAAGGAUGCACGCACCUCCAAGUUACUUAGUAUUUUUAUCAUUUGAAAAUAGUGUUGUUACCUCUUUCUUUCUGGGUUGAGAUAAAGCAUGAUACAAAAAAAAAAAAAAAAAAAAGAGGAGAGAGAGAGAGAACAUGGAGUGAGCACAGAAGAAGCCUCCAAGGAAGAGAAAAGCAAAGAACAGAACAAGCCACGAGCAGGGUUACAGAGGCUCCUGGGUGAUGGGAAGCCAGAAGCUAUGUCAAAGAGAAACAGAUAACCAUUCCCUGCUUAAUUAUCAAAUAUGCUUAACUGUAAUAUUCCUGCCCAUCCCACUCACAAAUAAAGAGAGUAUAAUCAGAACUGCA